GCGCGGGGCGGGGGCGGGGCGCGGCGCUGGUUGCCGGGGCGGCGAAUGGCGGCGGCUCCUCGAUGGCGGCGGGGCUGAGCGCGGACCCUGCACCGGCGGCCGGGACGCGGGGGCUCCCCCUCCCUGCGGCGGGGGGAGGCCCAGUCCUCGGGAAAAAGGGAGAGAGAGAGAGAGGCGCUCGUAUUGAAGCCAACCAGCUGCGCUUCUGAGUGGGAAACUCCGGACUGAUCUCAUGGCUUGCUUUUUAUUUCAUUAAUACUUCAUUGUUUCUGAAAAUGAACCAUUUGUGAAGCUCUUCUCCUAACUCUGCUUAUUCCUCUUUCAUGAGGUGGCUGCUGCUGUGGAAGGGAAGGAAUGGCAUGAAGUAAAUGGCUCCAAUAUAAGCAAUCUGCUUUGCCCCAGUGCCCAGUGAGCAGCACUGUCACUUUAAUAAUUCCAGGUCAAGGGAUUGCUUUCCUCGUUUUCAAUCCUCUUUUAAUACAUGGGAGGAUCAGAGGGACAUUAAAGACCGUAAGGCUGGGUGGCUUGCAGAUAAUAAAAAUGAAAGUGACUGCCCAGUGACUUCUGUUGGGUAAGAGAGUGAUAUUUGAAGGCUGUUGUCUGGUUAGGAAAAAGGGACCUUUUCAGUCUGCUGUGUAGUCCUCUAAUACAUAGCUAGCAAAAUUAAUUCAAGAAGUUAAAGAGACACUUCGGAUUGUUUUUGUCUUCCUCCUUAUUUGGAUUAUUUGGGCGUCUUUGUCCUGCAAAUGAUAUGUUUUUGAGCAUGUACAGGUGGAGUAUUGAGACAGCUGCCUAGAGAUGGACUGUGCCUUAACUGUAUUGCAUAAAAUCUUUUAAUUUUCAAACUUUGCUGCCAGAAGAGGAGUUAUAAUAAGGUUUUAUAUUACCAAGGAACAUUUGCUCUUGUAUUUUUAUAGAUUCAGAUAUAUUUUAAAGAAAUUGAAAACAUCUCUUAAAAAAGAAUCAAAAAGCUUUUUUUUCCCCCUUCUUUUUUUUUUUUUUUUUUUCUUAUUUGUGGAAAGCAUCAGAAGUCCAAUACAAGGGAACAGCAAGUAUUCAUAGAAAUGAAGAUUGAAGCUGCAUUUCCUAACUGAACUGUAAAAGUGUUCUGCAGUAGAUAGCCAAUUCUUGACCUCGCAGAGUUCUUCAGUAGUACUUCGUUAGUACCUGUAAAUAAGUGCUUGCAACCAGAUUCAGAAGUAGGAAGAAGAAUGCCAGUCAAGAAGAAAGCUCAUCUGUCCAGAUGCAUGCUCUGAUACAUCCCUGGAUCUGAUAAUACAAAAUGUGGGGGAAGGAGCAGAAAGUGAAUAUUACAGAACAGAUAUGAGGAUAUGGUUGAUGUGACUUUGGGUUCUCUUCCUUGUAGGAGUGACCCUUCAUUUUUUGAUGAAUGAAUUAACAUUUACUAUGUAAAUAAUGAUAAAACAUGCAGAUUACUAGAAUUAUUUUCAUGCAAAAAACAAUAAAUGGGAUUUUGUGUUUGUCUUUUAACACAUGACAGUGUAGAAAUGAAUUUUCAAAACUGAAAUAUUUUAACGGAUCAUCCUGUCAUUCAUUAUAAUUGCUUACAGUUAUGUGUAGUAAAGGUGGAAACGUGUAUGGAGGAGUAACAUCCUUAAUAAUUCAUUCUGCUGUUCUGUCAACGUGUCACCCUGAUGUACUGGUGAGGCUCGUGUUCUACCUGUUCUCAAAAGGAAAGUUGAGGCUGUUUUCAUAUUUUAACUCUUGAUUUAGGUGAUUUACAUCAAGGAUGUUUCUGUGAUGGAUGUUUAGCUGUAAUUCAGUUUCAGAACACUUGCUGCAGGAUUUUUGGGGUCAAAUCUUACUUUGUGCUGAAGUUAUAUUGGCAAUCACAGGGGUCCCUUCUGGCCUUAAAAAUCUGUGGAUUUCCUGUUUGUUUCCAGGCAGUUUGGGUCAGUCUUAGUGUACAUCAAGGCUUAAAUUUCUUCUUCUGUCUUAUGAGGAUGUGUAUUUUGACUAUGUUAAAAUAUAAACUCAAGAGACCCAAAUAUCCUUCUUGAAAUAUUAUAAAUGUAACAUCAGUCGGUGUACUGGAGUUGCCAGGGUGAAUGACUUUGAGUAUUAAAUGGGUGUUGUUAAAAAUAUGUUUAAGCAUGUAAAUUGCAGGUUUAAAAAUGUUAAUGAGUCAGCAGCUUCAUUAUGAUUUUGAAUGACUUAAUUUGUCUUGUUCAUGCAGUAGAUUUCAACUUUCUAAACAUAAUUAAAAGCAUGCUGGCAACUUGAAACACACUACCAUUUUUAAAAAAACCUGCUGUUGUUACAAGUAAUCCCUGUUACUGCCAUAAAUAUGAAGGAGAUUGAGGGAAUUCCGCCCCCCCCCCCGCCGCCAUUUAUUUGCUUUAUGGUUUUGACAGCAUUUUGUGUCUAACUAAUUUUAUAUUUCUGAUGGUGAUUUAUUUUCCCUUUCUGGUUUUAUGUAUUUGGGAGAUCAUGUCUACUCCCUUUCCUACUCAGGCCAUCUGUAGAAAUCUCGGUGGGAUACUCUUUUCUAGGCUGUGCAAAAGUAUGUAUUUCAAUAGCAGCAUUAAGGACAGGAUUAUCCCUCUCCAUUUCAGCACUUUAUGUGUUACUAUUUUGGAUUUGAUCAAAAUAUUCUCCUAAAAUCAGUAUUGAGACAGAGAAACCUGUGAAAACAGGCUUUAAAACAUCCUGAUAUUUAUUGCUGGAAGUUGUUACCAAACACUGCUUUCUUUGGCACUGACUGGUUCUGGGUCUUUCUAAAGAACAGCGUAUGCAUUUUGGGAAUUUGCCUUUGAAAGGUCUCACAUCCAGUACCAGUCUUCAAAUUUCACAUAACUUUGCACCUAAUUUACACUUUACCUUGCUGCUUGAUAUGAUGUCUUCCACCUCUCUUUUAGAAGUCCAGGCCUGUUUAGUCAGGAAAAAAAUAGUUUACUUAAUAAUAAAAAUCAUGUAACUUAUAGAAAGCAUUAAUUUCUUAUGGAUGUGGAAAAAAGGAUUGCUUGUGGUUCUAAACAUGUUUAUGUCAGUAAAUGAUUGCCAUUGCCUGAUGAGCUAGAGUGAAAGGAUUUUGUUUUCUCACUUCAUUCUGACGGGGGAUAAGGCUCCACAUUCCCAACAAUGUUCGCAGAGUUGACAUGUUUGCUGUCAGUGUCAGCAAAAAGUGAGGCUGGAAAGGGAGAACGGAGUAUCCUGUGGCGUUGAAUGUGUUCCCUUCAGAUGAGGGGCGGGACACUGAUGCACUAUUGCUGCGUGAUUAAACAAAUGGCUCUUUUCUUUGGCUUUUGCUCAUCUUUCACUUUUAAGAACAUUUCAAGUUUUAAAUCAAACCAGACAUCUCACUUUAGUUACAAAAUGAUUUGUUGGACAGUACCUUUUAGAGAUGAUAUGAGAUGAACAAAUUUGAUAAGUCAAUAAAUGCAUUAUUUUUGCUUAAUUUUUACUUUACUUUCGCAAACUAGAAUAUAUAUGAAUACAGCUAUUCCUAAAAAAGUUACAGAACUUCUUGAGAAAAGCUUUGCUUCAAAUUAAAAUAGAACUACCAUACCGAAGUGAAGUCAGGUCUCUGAGUGGAGUCGUGUUUUCUUUCCCUCCCUCUCUUCCUGAGUUGCUUAGCUGAGUUGAUUUCUCUGAACUGUAAGGGGACUAUGUUUAGAUCUGUAAUUGCAUAUAUUUUGGAUUCAUCAACAGAAUAGUUAAGAGCAUAAAAUGUUACUGAAAUUCAUCCAUGUCUUUCGCAGUGAUGGAAAGAGCUAAUUAAAUCCAUACUCCUCUGUGAUGGAGAGCAGAUUCCAGUUUUGAAGCCCUGCUUGCGGUUCAUAUGGAUAUGGAUAUGGCAGGAACCCCCACCUCUAGAUGUCUGGCUGCACAUGUGCUUCUAGACUAACCCUGUCAUCAUCUUUGCACAUCUAGCUGUGUCUAGGCAGUAAGAGAUACUUCAGUGGUGGGGUUUGUAUUGCCUUUGUCCUGCUUUCUGUCAUUCACAGUGAGAGGGAUUGUAUCUUUAGCCAGAUGAAACCUGUGGGCCGCUAUUAGUACCAUCUUGUUCCACAUUGUAGCCAGUUUAUAAAGACCUGCUGAUUCUGUUUGUCAUGGAAUAACUUUUUGCAUCACUCCUUUUAUAUUAAAAAAUGCCUUCCAGACCAUGCAUUAUUCAGCACAUCAAUGUCAAUAAUUAAAAAGUAUCAAUCUGAUCCCAUAUGGACAACUUCUGGACCAUUUAGAAGAAUCUGACAGAUGCACUUUAUGAAAUGCUAGGUUUUGUAGUGGUAAUGCUGACUUUAUGUGGCUGGCCUGUUGGAAGGAAGAGGUCUAAAAGCAACUCAGCAGGAACUUUUAAAGCAAAGUUCAUAAAGGACCAGACAAAGCUAGCUCCCAUUAAUGCACUGGAGUUCUUCAUGCAUUAAUUCUCUUUCAAACUGGCAACUUCUUUUUACAUAACAAAAUUUAAGUUUAGGAUCGUAACUUUUCAUGCUCAAAAAUCUCACUGAACGUAGUUUCAGGCUCCUCACAUCUUACAGCAGCAAAUCCAACAUGUAUUGGAAAUUUUGUUUUUCUUUCACUUGUAAUAAGUAAUCAGUAUUACAAGAUUUUUGUCCUUUCAGUUGCUGAAGGAAUAUUCUCAAAUUAGUACGUGGCUAAAAGGCCACAUCUUCCACUCCAAGUUUUGUUCGACUGCCUCUCAGUUUUUACAGUUAAUUGAAUGGGAGCAGUGCGAAGUUUAGGUUGUUUUUACGGACUGUGGAAAGUACAGUUUCAGAUUUCUGAGAGUUAAACAAGUGUCAGAAAAUUGCUGUCUGAACUGUGCCAACCUUCACCACAAAGCUUUGAUUUAAAGAUGUCACUGCUUUUGUGGCAGUGAGCUUUUUCCAGCCAGACAUUGUUUCUGCUGUGGGAAACAGUGAAGUAUUUUGCACAAGAAAGGACUAUAGGAGCAGGCAUUGUACAGAACAAGUCUUUGUUCUUUACACGCAGGCUGGAAAGCUAAGGACUGGAACAGUGAAAUUUAUACUCUUUUUCCAGCUCUGCUGUUGUUAUGAUACAUUUCAGGUAUUUAAUGCAGAUCUACCCCAUUUUAGUUGCCUUGCCUAUACAGGUGCCCAACUUUUUGUCCUGGAGGGUUGCUUUGGUCAGCAGAGAGAGGUCCACCUCCAAAGGGUGUUUUAACACACCUAAGAUCUGAAUUGCCUUCUUGACAGUUGUCAUUUUCUCCCUCCAUAGAUGAAACACAGAGUAACCACAUUAAUUCACCUCAGUUAGAUAAUGUCACAGUUGCUCAUAUAAAUUUUAGUGGAAAAAGCAUUUCCUUAUCUGACAUAAAUAUGAGAGCUGACACGUGUUCUAUGAGUGCUAUAAAUUAACACUAUUCAUUAUUUUUGUGGGAAAAAAAGUGUUAAAAAUUAUUGUACUGUUAGUCACUGAAGCUAGAAGCAACCAUAGUGUUGAUACAGACACAAGAGGCAGCUGUGCAUCCUCUCCUCCAUUCCUGUUAAGUGCAUAUUGCACUCAGUAGAAGCAAUGGUGUCUUGCAUUAUAAGCAUAAUCUUUUUCGUUGUCAUGCUCUCUUCUUUCCUUCUGAAUUUGUUCCAGAUGGCCAAGUUAGAUGUCAGAGGGUAACUAUGGAGAAAAAGCUGAAUUUCUAACUAGUAGCCAGAUGUGCUAAAAGAUAAUAAAAAGCCCCUGCUUCAGCAAAAUGAGUAAAAUCUGCCUUACUCAGAUAUACUUUGAUCAGGUCAUACCAGGUUCUUGCUUCUUACAAGUAUUUAAGGUCUGUUUCACUGUGGUAUCUUCGUAUAUUUACUGUGGAUUAACACAGUGCCAAACAACAGCUUUAUAAAAAGAAAGAUCAUGUUUUCUCUUGCUGUAUUCAUCCCCGAAAGAGUCAGCAAAGCUGCUUUGACCUGAUGGGUGAUGUCAGUAGUAAUCAGCAUACAAAAUCUGUGAAGAAAACAUUUGCUCUUUAUUGGAUGUGGUCCAGAAGAGUUUUUGGUGGCAGUAAACUCUUUGCCAGAACAUGUUACUGAUUUUCACUUCUGGCUGAAGAGGUUAAUGCUCCCUUCAAAACAUAUUUAUCAAGGAAUUGAAUUAUGUAGAGUUUCCUGGAAAGAGGGAUUCUGGACAAUUUAUGGUUUUGCAUACAGAAACCAAUCUUUUCUGUAUUAGAAUGCUGCUCUCUCCCCUGUCUGUGUAGCAUAUCUUGUGUUGUGCUUAGUGGAAUAACUCAAGUCACCUUCCAAUUCAGUCCUAGGUGUUGAGCACCACAGUUACACUACUUUGCAGAUGGGUGCCUGCUGAGCUGUGCUUUUAACAAUGACAACAAAAAAAACCCCAAGAACACCAAACCCAAGCUUUGCAGAUCUACAGACUGAGUUGCUUAAUGCCUAAAUGUAGAAUUAAUUUUGUGUUGUUGCGUGAAGGUACAUGUUUUGGUUAUUGACUCAGAGACUGUAGUGUAAUACAAAGGUUCUGAAAGUAAAUAUUCCAAUGUGAAUGUGAGAAAAUGUAAGACCAUAAUGCCUGUUUCGGUAAUAAAUAAAGAUAAUUUGAUCUCA